rnacentral:rRNA from 1 species
AGAGUUUGAUCCUGGCUCAGGACGAACGCUGGCGGCGUGCCUAAUACAUGCAAGUCGAGCGGAGUUAUCCUUCGGGGUAGCUUAGCGGCGGACGGGUGAGUAACACGUAGGCAACCUGCCUGCAAGACUGGGAUAACAUUCGGAAACGAAUGCUAAUACCGGAUACGCAGUUUCCCCGCAUGAGGGAACUGGGAAAGACGGCGCAAGCUGUCACUUACAGACGGGCCUGCGGUGCAUUAGCUAGUUGGUGAGGUAACAGCUCACCAAGGCAACGAUGCAUAGCCGACCUGAGAGGGUGAUCGACCACACUGGGACUGAGACACGGCCCAGACUCCUACGGGAGGCAGCAGUAGGGAAUCUUCCGCAAUGGACGAAGGUCUGACGGAGCAACGCCGCGUGAGUGAUGAAGGUUACUCGGAUCGUAAAGCUCUGUUGCCAGGGAAGAACAGCCAGGC